GAUGAACGCUGGCGGCGUGCCUAAUACAUGCAAGUCGAGCGAACGGACGAGAAGCUUGCUUCUCUGAUGUUAGCGGCGGACGGGUGAGUAACACGUGGAUAACCUACCUAUAAGACUGGGAUAACUUCGGGAAACCGGAGCUAAUACCGGAUAAUAUUUUGAACCGCAUGGUUCAAAAGUGAAAGACGGUCUUGCUGUCACUUAUAGAUGGAUCCUCGCUGCAUUAGCUAGUUGGUAAGGUAACGGCUUACCAAGGCAACGAUGCAUAGCCGACCUGAGAGGGUGAUCGCCCACAGUGGAAGGGAGCCCGGGACCAACCCCCGAGGGGGGGAGGAGGGGGGAAAUCUCCCGCAAGGGGAGAAGGCCGGAGGGAGACCCGCGGCGGGAGUGAUGAAGGUCUGCGGAUCGAAAAUCUUUUUUAUGGGGAAAAAACAGAUGUGAAAGUAACGGUCCACAUCUGGAGGUUACUAAAUAAAAAAGCCCCGCCUACCUACGC
rnacentral:rRNA from 1 species